GUCUCUCUCGAGGUGUCAUAGUCGCGGGGAGAUGACGACAUUACUCAAAGCUAAAUACACAACAGAAACUGGGGAUGGGCAGAAUGAACACUGUCAACCUGUUGAUCUGUGUAGCGAGCCAGAAGUCUCCUCAAUAUUGAGCUCUAAUGAUAAAUACUUCUGCUUAAGACGUCCACGGUUUCCUUCUUCCUGAAUCAUCAUCCACUCCAUCAAUUAUUCCAUUUCAGCUGGCGUUUCACAAACAGUACUCCAAUACAACCAGACAGGUGUGCAAGAAGACAGAGUAUGCAUGUGGACAACUGCAAUUCGGAGAGCUGUGAUGUAACGCUUCCGUCUCAAAGAGAUGUUUAGUCACCUGAAGGAUCUGUAGACCAGUCUGGACCUGAGGAUACGGCCAUUACAGCUGCAGGACGAGAACGGUCGACACGUUGACGAUCUCGUCUUCUUCAACUUUUUCAUGACGACCCCUCAGAGGCGCUUUGUGGGUCCUCGGGGAAUGACACCUGCUCGUUCUGCGGGAAGAGCACAUUAACCUUCCGCUUGGGUUAAGACGAGAAAAAUUAACAAGCGCUAUUUUUGAGUUAUUCUGAGUUUAUUUUUAUAUCGUAUCUUAUCUGACUUGCUACUAUAUCACCUGCUCAUGAGUUCUGAGUGUAUGAACGUUAAAGUGUAACAGAAAAAAUACAGAAUUGCAAAAAAGCCUCAAGCAGCGGACGAUGGCGAAGAGUCGAGGCCGGGCAGUAAUGGAGGGAACAAGAGAUGAUAAACUCGGCGCGGGACCUUAUUUUUCUCGGGCAAAAUCAUGACUGCGAACAGUUACUGACAACUUGGUUGUAUGAUCAAUGUGGAGUAAGAUGUGCAUUUUCUAUAAUUCAUAAGACCCAAAAAAACUUUCCGGGACGUGGCAGUUCAUUCCUACAUUGGGACCACAGAGCAGGAGUCAGGACACACCAUUCUGUAAGGGGAAGAAGAAAAAGGUUCAUACAUUGUGGGGCUUUUUUGUUCUGAUUUAUUACAAAUAAACCAAGAGCAGUUAUCAUUAAGUGAUAUGGACUGACAGGUCGUAUGGUGAUUAGACAGUUGUCAUUCCCAGGUGGAGUAAAGACACUUCACUGCGGAACAGUUACUGUAUUUCACCCACUUUUUAAAUGAAGACAUAAUUGUGUGUAAAAUAUA